CCUGGUUGAUCCUGCCAGUAGUCAUAUGCUUGUCUCAAAGAUUAAGCCAUGCAUGUGUAAGCACACACUGUUUAAAAGUGAAGCCGCGAAUGGCUCAUUACAACAGCCACAGUUUAUUAGAACUUACAAUCAUGGAUAACUGUGGUAAUUCUAGAGCUAAUACACGCACAAAAACUUCAACUGAAUUGGUUGAAGUGCUUUUAUUAGAACAAAAACCGAACGGCGUUUGACGAAUGUUGAACGUCGAAACUGUUUGGUGAAUCUGAAUAACUAUUUCUGAUCGCAUGGUCUAGCACCGGCGACAUCACUUUCAAGUGUCUGCCUUAUCAACCUUCGAUGGUAGUCUAUGCGACUACCAUGGUGAUAACGGGUAACGGAGAAUCAGGGUUCGACUCCGGAGAGGGAGCCUGAGAAACGGCUACCACAUCCAAGGAAGGCAGCAGGCGCGCAAAUUACCCACUCCCAGCUUGGGGAGGUAGUGACGAAAAAUAACGAGACGAUUCUCGUUUGAGAAACGUUAUCGAAAUGAGUACGCUUUACACACGCUAACGAGUAGCAAUUGGAGGGCAAGUCUGGUGCCAGCAGCCGCGGUAAUUCCAGCUCCAAUAGCGUAUAUUAAAGUUGCUGCGGUUAAAACGCUCGUAGUUGAAUUGUGGUCUUAGACAACAGUCCCCCUACAUAGGUGUGGCACGGUUGCUCGAGAUCUUCAUUCGUGGUUGCUGUUGUUGCUCUUCAUUGAGUGUCAAUGGUGCCUCGAGAUUUUACUUUGAAAAAAUUAGAGUGCUCAAAGCAGGUUGUGAUGCCUGAAUAAUGGUGCAUGGAAUAAUAGAAUACGAUCUCGGUUCUAUUUUGUUGGUUUUCGAACCGGAGAUAAUGAUUGAAAGGAACAGACGGGGGCAUUCGUAUUGCUGCGUUAGAGGUGAAAUUCUUGGAUCGCAGCAAGAUGAACAAUUGCGAAAGCAUUUGCCAAGAAUGUUUUCAUUAAUCAAGAACGAAAGUUAGAGGUUCGAAGGCGAUCAGAUACCGCCCUAGUUCUAACGGUAAACUAUGCCAACCAGCGAUUCGCCGAAGUUCAUUUAAGACUCGGCGAGCAGCUUCCGGGAAACCAAAGUGUUUCGGUUCCGGGGGGAGUAUGGUUGCAAAGCUGAAACUUAAAGGAAUUGACGGAAGGGCACCACCAGGAGUGGAGCCUGCGGCUUAAUUUGACUCAACACGGGAAAACUCACCCGGCCCGGACACUGGAAGGAUUGACAGAUUGACAGCUCUUUCUUGAUUCAGUGGGUAGUGGUGCAUGGCCGUUCUUAGUUGGUGGAGCGAUUUGUCUGGUUAAUUCCGAUAACGAACGAGACUCUACCCUAUUAAAUAGUGACAGUAUUGUAUUUUUUGUGCUGAUCACUUCUUAGAGGGACUGGCAAAUUGAAAGCUGCACGAAAAAGAGCAAUAACAGGUCUGUGAUGCCCUUCGAUGUCCGGGGCUGCACGCGCGCUACAAUGAAAGCGUCAACGUGAGUUACGUCCUUACCUGAAAAGGUUUGGCAAUCGAAUGAAACGUUUUCUUGAAUGGAAUAGGGAAUUGCAAUUGUUUCCCUUGAACGAGGAAUUCCCAGUAAGCGUGAGUCAUUAGCUCGCGUUGAUUACGUCCCUGCCCUUUGUACACACCGCCCGUCGCUACUACCGAUUGGAUGAUUUAGUGAGGUGUUUUGACUGGCGCCAGUAGUCGGAUGUAUUCGGCUUCGCGCCGGGAAAUUUCCCAAACCAAAUCAUCUAGAGGAAGUAAAAGUCGUAACAAGGUUUCCGUAGGUGAACCUGCGGAAG
rnacentral:rRNA from 1 species